rnacentral:rRNA from 1 species
AUUGAACGCUGGCGGCAUGCCUUACACAUGCAAGUCGAACGGCAGCACGGGAGCAAUCCUGGUGGCGAGUGGCGAACGGGUGAGUAAAGUAUCGGAACGUGCCCAGUCGUGGGGGAUAACGUAGCGAAGGUUACGCUAAUACCGCAUACGAUCUAUGGAUGAAAGCGGGGGAUCGCAAGACCUCGCGCGAUUGGAGCGGCCGAUAUCAGAUUAGGUAGUUGGUGGGGUAAAGGCUCACCAAGCCGACGAUCUGUAGCUGGUCUGAGAGGACGACCAGCCACACGGGGACUGAGACACGGCCCAGACUCCUAGGGGAGGCAGCAGUGGGGAAUUUUGGACAAUGGGCGAAAGCCUGAUCCAGCCAUGCCGCGUGCAGGAUGAAGGCCUUCGGGUUGUAAACUGCUUUUGUACGGAACGAAAAGGUUUGGCCUAAUAAGCUGAGCUCAUGACGGUACCGUAAGAAUAAGCACCGGCUAACUACGUGCCAGCCGCCGCCGUAA